rnacentral:rRNA from 1 species
CCUACGGGGGGCAGCAGUGGGGAAUCUUCCGCAAUGGACGAAAGUCUGACGGAGCAACGCCGCGUGAGUGAUGACGGCCUUCGGGUUGUAAAGCUCUGUUAAUCGGGACGAAAGGCCUUCUUGCGAAUAGUGAGAAGGAUUGACGGUACCGGAAUAGAAAGCCACGGCUAACUACGUGCCAGCAGCCGCGGUAAUACGUAGGUGGCAAGCGUUGUCCGGAAUUAUUGGGCGUAAAGCGCGCGCAGGCGGAUAGGUCAGUCUGUCUUAAAAGUUCGGGGCUUAACCCCGUGAUGGGAUGGAAACUGCCAAUCUAGAGUAUCGGAGAGGAAAGUGGAAUUCCUAGUGUAGCGGUGAAAUGCGUAGAUAUUAGGAAGAACACCAGUGGCGAAGGCGACUUUCUGGACGAAAACUGACGCUGAGGCGCGAAAGUCAGGGGAGCGAACGGGAUUAGAUACCCUGGUAGUC